UGAGACAGGUGCUGCAUGGCUGUCGUCAGCUCGUGUCGUGAGAUGUUGGUUAAGUCCGCAACGAGCGCAACCCCUAUCUUCAGUUGCCAUCAUUAAGUUGGGGCACUCUGUAGAGACUGCCGGUGUCAAACCGGAGGAAGGUGGGGAUGACGUCAAGUCCUCAUGGCCCUUAUAGGUGGGGCUACACACGUCAUACAAUGGAUGGUACAAAGGGUCGCCAACCCGCGAGGGGGAGCCAAUCCCAUAAAGCCAUUCGUAGUCCGGAUCGCAGUCUGCAACUCGACUGCGUGAAGUCGGAAUCGCUAGUAAUCGUGGAUCAGAAUGUCACGGUGAAUACGUUCCCGGGUCUU
rnacentral:rRNA from 1 species